CUCCCGGCGCCGCCCCGCCCCCAUCUUCUCCCCCACUCCGGGCGCUGCCCGAGCCCAAACCUCCCUGGAUCCCGAUGCCGCCCCACCCCCACCUCCUCCCUCGCUCCCGGCCACCCAUGCCGCCUAUGCGCGCCCCUCCCACACACUCCCGACCUACUCCCGGCGCACAUGCCACCACCCCUGCUCCUCCCUCCUCCAUGAGGGCGCGCCGCCGCCCUUGUUCUCCCUUCCCCCUGCUGGCAUGCGCACCGCCGCCCCUCUGGCCAUCGCCGGCAUCCCGCUCGAGCCCGUGGACCCGAGGAAGAUGGAGUCCAUGGAUGAUGGGAAGGAGCAGCGGCUGCCUCGUGGUGACCUCGAUGCUGCUACUGGUAUGUGUUGUGCAAUCUUCAGAUAUGAAAAAAAGAUAGUACAGAGAGGAGAGAGGAUUGCAGUUCAGACAGAUUGACUGGUAAGGUUCAGAGAUGUUGCUGAAUGGAAUACAUGACCGAAUGGAAUCUAUAAUCUGCAGCUAUAGCAUCCUAUAGUCCGGGAACCUAUAAUGUGCUCAAUAAAUCCAUGUUUAUACCUUCCAAGUUUCACUUGCAUGUUUCCCUUGUAUUUGAUGUUGUGGCUGGUAAGUGCUUGUCUCUUAUGGAGUAUAGGUUGCAGUGGAGUAAGUGAAAAGUGUGCAUGAUUGUAGGUUGAAACUUGCUAAUUAUGAUUGAGCAGAUGGAGCCUGAUGCCCGCGUCUAUACCUCCUAAGUCGGAGGCGGCGUACCAUGUGUCGACCGCCCUGAACCCUGGUCCUCAUGAUCACGUCAACCAACAGGGUCAACGACAAGGAUGCUUCUGAUGUAGUAGGACUAGAUGCGACACCUUUCCUGAAUUUUCUUAUGUAUGAUGCAUUUCAUAGUGUUUCUUCUAUCACGGUAACAAGAAUCUCUACCUACUUUAUUGGUGAAAUUGAGGUUGAAUACCAAUAUACGCACAUACAGCAGCAAUGGUUGAUGACAACAACAGCCUUGUAGCUUCAGGAGUGGAGCAUGAGGAGGGCUCUGUAUUGUGGCGGGGAAGGAGCAGAGGAAUUGUGCAUCCGGGAAUGGCACGAUAGCCAAUCCUAUUUAUUGCUCUACUGUCUGACAGGUGCCACAACGGCCUUGUAGCUUCAGGAGCGGAGCAUGGAGCAGGGCUCUGAGUCGUGGUGGGGCAUGUCGGAGGGCUCUGGGUUAUGGCAGGGAAGGAGCGGAGGAACUGUGCAUCCGGGGAUGGCGUGACCGCCGAUCAUAUCCGUCGCACUGGUGCUUGACAGGUCAAAUGAUCAGCAAGGCAUGUGACAGCAUCUUCAGGCCCAACUCUCACUCUGCUGUCUCCCAUUCAACGCACUCGUCGAUGCUAGGGGUGGAUGGUUCUUUGAUGUUGGCACAACUGGAGACAGCAAGAAGCAGAGGGAGGGAGGCUAUCAUGUUGAAGAAGACGCCGGCACCCUGACAGCGGAAAUGCGGUUUCUCGGAGCUAGCGGGAGGAGGCCGAUGGCUUCCUGUUGUAGUAACGCGAUGCUGAAGCAACAACGCACCAGCCUGCAAGGUGAUUAGCAGUCAGCAAACUAUUGGAAAGAUGAUGGUACCUCGUUUUUCUCAAGCUGUGAAGACAUGCACAAGAAUAGAUCCGUCGAUGAAGUAAACAACAUAUUUCAAGAUAUGAUGGUUGGUACUUCCAGGUUAGAGUGUAGCUUUCAGAUGAUUUUCUUCCCUCGGGAUAUUUGAAGAUUGUUUGUUACCCAUCAAGUUCAGAAAAACCAAGGGUAUCAUAUGAAUUGGAUUACGUAGAAAACACAGAGAUAAAAGGGGUAUUUUAUCUACUAUCUCCACGAUGACACUGGUGCCCGUGCGCACGAUGAUGGCAUGGUGACGAUGAAUUGGGUUACGUAGAAGGUCGUCUUCCCGGCGCACCACGCGCUGGCCCCCGUCUCCAUCCGCGGCCGCACCAACAAGACAGGGAAAAUGGAUAAAGUCUGCUAACUGGAACUGGAUAAUUGAUCCUUUAAAUGGAGAAAAAUCUCUCAAAGUUGCUGGGGGUUCAUGGAUCUAAAAUAAAGGUAUUUAUGUUUUGCGGUGUUUCUCUUUUGUAUUCCAUGUUACAACACUAUGCGUGUAAUUUAGUCAUAGUAUCUCAACUUUUCUCAGUUCAAAUACAAUAUUUUUUUUCCUUCGGAAAGAGCUCAAAUACAAAGACUGACUUUUAUGCUAUUUCAUCACAGCCACUGACGAAGUUAAGUGCAGUGCAGGCAAAAUGGAUAUAGUCUGCCAAUUGGAACUGGAUAGUUGAUCCUUUAAAUGGCAAAAAAUUAAUCAAAGUUGCUAAGGUUCAGGGAUCUAAAAUAAAUGUAUUGAUGCUUUGUGGUGCUUCUCUUUUGAUUUCCAUGCUACAGCGCUAUGAGUAUAAUUUAGUCAUAGUAUCUAUCAACUUUUCUCAGUUCAAAUUCUUUUUCUUCCAAAAAGAGCUCAAAAUACAAAGAAUCAAUUUUCUUUGUUUAAACUUUACUGGUAUUGUCGUGUGUGUAUUAGAUCUGAAGUGUGUUCUCAAACAGUAUAAAGUAAUUUCAUGUUGCAACCAUUUGUAUUAAGCAUGGACUUCACAACCCACAUAGAGCUCCAGAGAGGUAUGUGUUGUUUUCUUGUACUAUGAAUUUAAGGCGGUUCUCGAGAGAAACAAGUUACCAUGGACCGGCGAGAUCAAGACAUGGCUCCGACAACAUCAACCCAAGCGGCGGCCGUGAUAGAGAGAGCGUUCGUGAGAGGGGAUGGAGUGGCGGCUGCACGUCUGUGUCGAGUCGACCAGUUGCAAGAGCGGAUGGGGCGGUGGCUGCGCAUAUGCGCUCGUGGAGGUGCCGGUAUGCACCCUGAUUUAUUUGAGCCUGGGAGGUGCCGGUAUGCACCCUGAUUUUUUUUGUAUGCAUAUCCCUGAAUUUUAUGUGUCGUGAUUUAAGUGUUGUUGUGUGUGUCAUUGUGUCCUAUAUAAUGAUUCUUAUUGACGCACCACUGCAACCCAGUUCGUUUAUCAAAUUGAUGCAAGAAACAAACUAAUACAUAGAGAGUACAAAUUUAUUACAAUAAUGUAUAUAUGCCCUGCAGUACCUGUGCACCUUGCAAUAGGUAGAGAUGGAUAAAUUUUGUAGCUUUUUGUUCCCCUUUUUUUCCAUCGAAAUUAUGGAUUUGGAAGCUAUUCAUGCAGUGUUUCAAUUGCUUGCUAUAUUAUGGAUUUGCAAUGAGCACAAGCCUGCAACGUUGAAGGAAAAGCCGUUGUCGCUGAUGACAUGACACUGUGGGUGAGAUUUUUUAUUAUGUUAGCACAGAGUACAGACUAAUAUUAUGCCGCAACAACAAUGUAUAUACCUUCCGAGCUUUGUGGAUGCUUCUCUUCACAAAAGGAGAGGUUUAGAGUUCAUGCUUUGUGCUUAUUAGAAAACAAAGAAAAGGAACGAGUUGCUUGAAAUAUUGACAUGUAUAUAGUGUAACAAAAACAUGCUUACAGUUCUAACAUGAAUUUUAUUGAGCUGAGAGUUGUGAUAUGCAAAUGUUUUAUGGUUGAUGGUUCUGUACCAUCGGUUAUAUUGUAUAAAAAUGGUCUCUGCUUUCAUCUUCUUUGAUGAUAUAUUUUCUUGUAAAAAUUGAAAUGCAUAAUGCACCUAUUCUUUUUAUCGUGGUUCCAAUUUUUUGCCAAAUUUAUAAAUUCUUUAUGAAUAGUAACGUAGACGCAUGUUCUUAAUCUAUUUUUUUUCACCCCAAAAUGCUGUGUAGAUCUGCCAUUGACAUUUUUUGGAGCACUGGAUGAACAUUUGCUAACAUGUUGAUAGGAAAAGCCUUUGUUUCCUCAUAAAAUGUUUCCCAUUAGUUAAACUUAUUGGAUACAUGCAGUAUGCACGAUGACCAUGUACAACCUUUUUAGUUAGAAUUGUGUCUGCUACUAAUCUAUCUUUACUUAAUAGAAUGAACUCUGCAUGUUUCGGAAACAAGAGGUAAUGCAAACAUUUUAUUCUGUUGUAAACUUGUGAUUCAGCAUUGGCUGAGGUGAUGUCAUGUUGCGGCUGGAGCCAUCAUCGACCACGAUGUCGUGCUAGGAGAACAAGGGCAAAGGCGAGGACAUGUUGGUGUUGUUGGAAUAAGGUUUAUUGGGUCUUCCUCCUCCAGUAACAUACUCCCUCCAUCCCAAAAUUCUUGUCUUAGAUUUGUCUAGAUAUAGAUGUAUCAAGUCACAUUUUAGUAUUAGAUACAUCCGUAUCUAGACAAAUCUAAGACAAGAAAUUUGGGACAGAGGGAGUAUUACACAAUGUAUUUAAGCUGAUUGAUUCUCUUUGGUAAAAAUGUCUCUCAUUUGCUUGAUGAAACUUUACCUUUGUAAAAUUAGCUGAGUUAUAUACAUCUAUGUGUGGUAUCUAUCUGGUUAUAUUAAACUGCAGUUCAUUCUUCUUGCUGGAA